rnacentral:lncRNA from 1 species
AUGAGGCAUCCGCCCUGCGGGCUCAGUCAGCCUGCUGGGGGACGGACAAACCAGCAGUGCUCUCCUCUGACACCCCGAGAUACGGGACUCGCCCCGCUUCCAGCGCCCUGGCCACGGCGCCCCGCGGAGCGCCGCCCCUCCUGCAGGUACCGGGCUUUCAGGGGAGAAGACGCCCUUUACUCCCCGACCUCCUGGAACCUUCUGGCCAUCCGCCUGGCCUUCAUCAUUGUGUUUGAGUUAAGGCCAAGGGAUGGAUCACAGCUAUGGACACAGACGACGUGGAAGACAUUCGACAGGGAGGGAACGGACACGCACGCCGGUCCCGCCAGGGCCCUGCCCGCAGCGGCGGAGGCCGCAGGAGACAGGCCCCGGGCACAGUCAUCUCGGGAUGCUUAACGACACCCAGCGACGGUGAGCGGGACCCCAAACGGCUCAGGAAGGGGAGCCUGCGUUUAUGACAUUUAGCAAUAAGUGCACAUGUGCAAAACCUAUUGUGAGAAUUAAACAUUUCCCUUGGGCAGCGGGCAGGGCUGGAUGCUGCAGAAGAGACAGAGGGAGGAGCAGGUGUGGGCAGGCGCAGGGAAGGCUCGGGACUCGUGCACGAGGAAGAGGGCGUCUUUCUCUCUCGUCAACUCUACCCAGUUCGGGGCGGCCCGGCCCGCUGAGCGGAAGCAACGCCCUUUCCUUCUACCCCGUUUAUGGGGCCUACACACGGGCACACGUAAGGCUGCUGGGGCUCCCGGGCCCUUGCAGAGGCAGCCGCAGUCAGGCUCGGGGUCAGCGAGUCUCGGUCCCACUCCGGAGCUGCAGAGCUGAAGGCCUCCAAGCUCUUUUCUGAGCAUGAGAAACCCCGAAGGGUGGGGCGUGGGCGCCCAGGGCACAAGGCGGCUUCUCUGGGAAGUUGGUACCUGGGUGAUACUGAGAACUGGAGAGUGGCCCAGUCACUCGCGGUGCAGAGACAGGGACCCAGACGGCCAGAGCUGAGGGCCUGUCCUUGGUUUCCACGCCACACGACACAGGUGUCUCUGCUGCCAGGGCCCCACCUUGCCCUCACCCCGACUCCCCAAGGCCUGGGGCCCAGCCCCUGGGAUGAGCUCCCCCCCCCGCCCCGGCCUCCUGCCCGGGAGCACCGGGCGCCUGGUCCAGGCUGCCAGCCUCUCUCUACCCAGGACCAGCCAGCCUGCCUCCUGAGCAAGCGGCAGAGGGCGGCCGGGGUGGCACGUGCACUCCCUGCUGUGGACUGGCGCACUGGCCACCGGCCACCCGUGGGUGAGGGAGGGCGCGGCCCCCCAGCCCCCAGGCCCAGGGAAAGGCCCGAGUGCUGGGGAGACGCGGCCGCCGGCUGAAGUAGAGCAGAGGCCCUUCCCGCCCCCGUUGGCCCUUCGUCUGGGCGAUG